UCUGCUGCGAGAAAGACUUUACAAAGUUGUC
rnacentral:piRNA from 1 species